AUACACAGAAUGAACGAACAAUUGAAGUCCAGUAACAUAAAAUCAAUCGGUCUUUAUUAAUCACAAGACUAUUGAACUGUAAUUGCUUAUAACAAAUUCUAUCGAACAAAACUCACUUGGUGCCUCAUCAAGUUCACUUGCUGGAGACUCUGCGGCCUGCAGCAUUCGGCGCAGCUCAGGUGUUGGGGUGAGCCGCUUGGCCUCUUUGAUGACGUUAUCUCUGAAGAACGGAUCCCAUUUCUGGAGCAGCAGGUUGGAAACCUCCUCUUCAAACAGGAGUGUGAAGUCUUGAUUCAUCUAUAAGAAAGCAAAUGAAUCUUGGGAAGAUGGAGAAGAUAUCUUGAGUUUUGUCUGAGUCGUGGAUGAGUUUUUGGCGAUUCUGAAAGGUCUCUCUCAUCUUCAGAAAAAUUACGGAACUGUCUGUUGUAUGGUUGAGCAAGGAGAUGGCUUCCUGGUAUGCAUCCCCAUCAAGCUGCUGGUCAACAACAAUGGACCUGCGCACAUUUGGGCCUCCUGAAAAAAAGCACACAAUUCUUUCAAGAAAAAAAACAAGAAACACCCUAGAUGAAGUUGUAAGAAAGAAAGAAAAAUGAGGGGUACUUAGAGAAAGAAAGACAGUUGCAUAGAGAGAGAGAUAGAGAGAUAGAGAGAUAGAUAGAGAGAUAGAUAGAGAGAUAGAUAGAUAGAUAGAUAGAUAGAUAGAUAGAUAGAUAGAUAGAUAGAUAGAUAGAUAGAUAGAUAGAUACAUAGAUAGAUAGAUAGAUAGAUAGAUAGAUAGAUAGAUAGAUAGAUAGAUAGAUAGAUAGAUAGAUAGAUAGAUAGAUAGAUAGAUAGAUAGAUAGAUAGAUAGAUAGAUAGAUAGAUAGAUAGAUAGAUAGAUAGAUAGAUAGAUAGACUGACCUCCUCCUGGGGAAAAGCCAGUGGGGCUACUUGUAGAUGCAUGUCCUCUUCGACUCUUUCUCUGAAUCGUUUUCAGACGCCAAGAAAUGUAUCCGGUGCUGCUUGCAGCAUCAUAGAAAUGUUCCUAAAAUGGAAAUACAUUCAAAAUUAAUGUGAUGUCAACCUCAUAAGCUACUGUGAAAUUUCAGAAUCUAAAUGUUACUGUAAUGUAGACAAAACAUGAAAAUUAUGUAAACAGACAGUACAAUAAUAAUGACUAUACAUAGCCUUUCUUGGAGUAUGGGUCUUUGAGGGACGGGAACACUGUCACUAUCCCAAGAGCGUACUCUUCUCGAACAGCUUUGCUGGGGAGUUGCCUGAGAAAAGAUCAAAUUAGCAUUAAUACAAGGGCCAAGUAGUUAACUUGUUAAUAAAAAAAGGAUAGUACAGACAAAUAGAA